CCUCCAGGUAGGCAAAAUCGCCAGAGACAAUCACAUGCUGAUACAGAACCUCUGCCCAAUCAGGGAUAAAGUCGUAUGCCUCCGCAAGUAUAGAAGCCUGGAAGGAUAGAGAGAGGACGAGUUCUACAGUUAAGGAAGAUGGACCGAAGACAGACAAAUGGAAUUAGGGUUAACAGGGACUGCAGUCAACCUGGACCAAGUACGUUUCUGUACAGCACUGAUCCGAGUCCACAAAGGAUUAGACGCAGAGUGCAAGAGUUGUGAAACAUUUCCGUACUCACUCACAAGGAUGAAGAACCCUAUGACAUCACUUGUGAAUGUAAACAAAGAUUCUUGAUCAAGGCAAGUUCAAUGGAGGAUCAGGUGAUAUUUUAAUCUAUCAGUCAUAAUAAAUGUAUCCAGAACAAGCAGCAAGGAAAUCCCCAUAUAUUUUGAAUGAAGUAUUAAAGCAGGGACUCCGUUGUUCUCUCAGGUCCAGAACAAAGCCUGAAGAGCUAUCGCCAGCAGCAGAGCAAGACUUGACCCUCAACUAAUGUAUCUGCCUCUACCACCAGCCUGUUCCACACACGCAAGAUAAUUGUUCAACCAGUGAUAAAAGGAAUACCCAUUGUGUACAAUGCAGAUUAGAAAUUAAUUUUGCACAAUUGGUCAAUGUCAUUUGCACCUUCACAGAGUUCAUGCAAAAACAGGUUAUGGAUUAUAAAGAAUUAUAUGAUUCACUUGCUUUGAAACAAGUGAAUUAAAUCUUAUGUAGUAUAUUUUAGCAGCUACAGAUUUUCAUUUUUGUUACAUGACAAUAUUUGGGAAAACGGUGAGGAGGUUAAAGAUGGAAAUUGAAUUACCAAGUCUGAAUGACUCUUUUUGGGAUUCUGCCUCCAAACACAAAAAAGGCCUGGCACUUAGAUCCAUAUGUCCUCAAGAUGAGCAGAAUUAGACCAUUUGGACUAUCGUCUUCUCCACUAUUUGAUCAUGGUUAAUUUAUUUCCCUCUCAAUCCCAUUAUUCCAGAUUCUUCCCAUAACCUUCGGCACCCUUACUAAUCAAGAACCUAUCAACCUUUGUUUUGCACUUCACUAUAUAUAAUUCCUUAAUUGGAAUUGGCAAUAGCUGGUGAGUGGCCCAAAGCCUUUACAAUGUCUACAAGUCAAAUCAAGGAUGUGAUGGAUGCCUGGGUGGGUGCAAAGCUUACAAUAUUGGUAAAGUUCAUCCACCAAGCUUACCAUCAACACACAUUUGCUGCAGUGUGAAAAUGAACUGCAGUUAUUUGCCCAGGCAACACUGACGACACCUUACGACUACCGCCGCCGAGGACAAGGUCUUCAGAGUACAUGAAAUGCCAAAACCUCCCUAAAGCUGUGCGCCCUUCUGACUUGGAAAUAUUUAUUCUUUCAUCAGUACUGGGACUAAAUCCUGAAACACUAUGCAACAGCACUGGUGGAGGGGUUCAAGGAGGGUUCUUUAGACAGAGGGUGGCGAAUCUGGGCAAUUCAUUGCCAGAGAUGGCUAUGGAGGUCAAGUCAUUGGGUAAAUUUAAAGGAGAGGUUGACAGGUUCUUGACUAGACAGAGUGUCAAAGAUUACAGGGAGGAGAAUAGGGUUGAGAGGGAUAAUAAAUCAGCCAUAAUGGAAUGGCAGACUCAAUGGGCUGAAUGUCCUCAUUCUGCUCCUGUGUCUAAUGGAGGCUCACAAUCUAGCAAUAAACACUGGUGAUGCACGUAAAUGUUUCUAGCAUCUCGUGUUUACAUUAAAGAAUACUUGUGAUCUAA